rnacentral:rRNA from 1 species
GAUGAACGCUGGCGGCGUGCCUAAUACAUGCAAGUCGAGCGAACAGACGAGGAGCUUGCUCCUCUGACGUUAGCGGCGGACGGGUGAGUAACACGUGGAUAACCUACCUAUAAGACUGGGAUAACAUCGGGAAACCGGAGCUAAUACCGGAUAAUAUAUUGAACUGCAUGGUUCAAUAGUGAAAGACGGUUUUGCUGUCACUUAUAGAUGGAUCCGCGCCGCAUUAGCUAGUUGGUAAGGUAACGGCUUACCAAGGCAACGAUGCGUAGCCGACCUGAGAGGGUGAUCGGCCACACUGGAACUGAGACACGGUCCAGACUCCUACGGGAGGCAGCAGUAGGGAAUCUUCCGCAAUGGGCGAAAGCCUGACGGAGCAACGCCGCGUGAGUGAUGAAGGUCUUCGGAUCGUAAAACUCUGUUAUUAGGGAAGAACAAAUGUGUAAGUAACUAUGCACGUCUUGACGGUACCUAAUCAGAAAGCCACGGCUAACUACAUG